rnacentral:lncRNA from 1 species
GGUAAGACUGCAGAGUCCCAGCCCUGCGGACCAGCAGUGCAGAUGCAGGCUCUCUGACCGAGUGUCCUGCUUCCUCUUUGGGUUUUUUUGUCCUGUCCCUGCUCGGUCACGUGCAGCUGUCUGUUACAUCCCUGAAAGAAAGCUCUGCAGGAACGCUGGGGUAGGUGAGUGACUACCAAGUUUGGUGACUGCCCUGAUAUGGUUCUGUGGUCUCCAAAUGCUAUGUGGUGUCCCUAGACCAUUGUGGAGGCCUCCAUCUGAAAAGGUAAAGUGAGACAGAACUGCUAAGAGAAAUGCCCCAUUGGAGUCUCCUAACUGUCCUAAGCCCUGGUUCCCUCUCUGAAUACAGGAGUGAUGUUGUCUCUCCAGCCUAGAGGAUGAGAGCUGGAGCCUCUGAACCAGGGGUCCCAGAAACAGAGGAGUCUAGCAGCCCUGGAAGAGAAAGCUAGGACAGCCUUUGUGCCUGAGAAGUAAAGAAGAAAAAGGAGAAAAAGAGAUAAAGUCUUACCUGUCCGAGGGUCCCUGUUCAGGCAUCAUUCUGUCAUGGACAGAGCUCAGUUGGCCCCCCUCAAUCCUGGGAAUCAGGGUUCCUGCACGUGUGCAUGGAGUCAGCCAAAAUUGACAAACAGACACAGACACGAGAGAGUGUGCUGGAUAUGAAUGUAUUUUGUCCAAAGGAACACCAGACUUUUAAUACAAAAGGAAAACAAGAAAAGCCAGGGGAACACAUCCGCCAAGUUACAUUGACACAAAACAAAAAGGAAUGCAUACAUAAAAAGAUGGUGGGAGCCAGGCAGCAUUUACCCCUGAGAAUGGAGCCAGGUGAAUGCUCUGAUGCAAUGCUAGUCUAUUGUUAACCCACCACCAGGGGUUCUUUUCCCACCUCUGGAGAUGUAGGAAAGGUAGAAAAAUGGAGCAGUGUAUGCAGCAUGGACAGAGGUGGAACUGGAAACGCGAUGGUGGUAACAGGUAAGAGAGAGGGCUAAGAUGAUGUGCUGUCAUUGCUCAAUGGCAGGGGGGCGUGGCGGGGUGUGAGCUUCUGCAGAUGCAGACUUAGCCCCUGAACCUGCUGCCUGGCUGCAGGAGGGAUCGCCCUGGCUCUGGGCAAGGAUGGAAGCUUGAGAUGAAGAAAGGUUCACUUGCUGAAUUGGACCUCCUCAAAAAACCACCAUGGUCCUUGAAGAGACUGUGUCGGUGACUGUGGCCUGUGCUGCUGCCCCCGGACUCUGUGAAGCCUGAGAUCCAUGACAUCUGGGCUGCUGGGAUGUCCUGGGACUUUACUCCCUCAGGUGCCACCCUGAUGUGAAUGGUAAAUGUAGCUCCCUGAGGAGGCCAUGUUGAAGCUCAUGGCCCCUGAAGCUGCUCAGAGCUCUGAGUGAGUUGGUGGUCCUGAUACCACAGCCAAGGGCUGUGUUGAUAUUUGUGGUCCUUGUUGCCACUAAAGUGGAUACAGAUGUUCUGCCACCUGAAGUCAUGUUAAUAUCCAUGGAUGCUCCAGAGCCAGCUCUACUGCCCCUCACUGGAGAGUUAUGUGUGUGUAUGUGUCCCCUGGAGCUAGCCCUGACUCCACUGGAGAGUUGGCUCCACCCCUUGCUAGCCAACACUUGUCAGGGCACAGGAGAGUUGGCCUCAUGCCUCUUGGCUCAUACCAUGAUGAUGAUACAUAUAUCACACACAGCCCCCACUCAGAAGGUCUGGCCCCACCUCAACUGACCCACAGAACACAGAGGCAAGCAGUGGCUUAGGUGUGGAAUAUCUAGUCCUGCACCUCGCUGGCAGCCAUAGGGUUCUAUCAGUUGAAGACUUCUGGUGUGGACAAAAGCAAAGAAAGACUUUUGGGUGGUGGGAGAGUGGGGCGGUCUGACCACUAAGAAUUUGACCAUGUUCCAGUGAAUAUAUAGACAACACAGG